rnacentral:rRNA from 1 species
AUUGAACGCUGGCGGCAGGCUUAACACAUGCAAGUCGAGCGGGGGAAGGUAGCUUGCUACUGGACCUAGCGGCGGACGGGUGAGUAAUGCUUAGGAAUCUGCCUAUUAGUGGGGGACAACAUCUCGAAAGGGAUGCUAAUACCGCAUACGUCCUACGGGAGAAAGCAGGGGAUCUUCGGACCUUGCGCUAAUAGAUGAGCCUAAGUCGGAUUAGCUAGUUGGUGGGGUAAAGGCCUACCAAGGCGAGGAUCUGUAGCGGGUCUGAGAGGAUGAUCCGCCACACUGGGACUGAGACACGGCCCAGACUCCUACGGGAGGCAGCAGUGGGGAAUAUUGGACAAUGGGGGGAACCCUGAUCCAGCCAUGCCGCGUGUGUGAAGAAGGCCUUAUGGUUGUAAAGCACUUUAAGCGAGGAGGAGACUACUUUAGUUAAUACCUAGGGAUAGUGGACGUUACUCGCAGAAUAAGCACCGGCUAACUCUGUGCCAGCCGCCGCCGUAA